GGUGGAUAUUACAUCAACACAAAGAGAGAGCGGUAAAGAGACACUGACUCUACGUUGAACACCGUCCACAGCCAGACUCCUGUCGUCUCGUCCAUCGUAUCUCAUCACUGCGUCGCUACGAAUCCAGAGAUUCCAGCGAUGAGUUCAGUCAUGAAGACCACAGACAGGAACACAGCAUACUGAGGAGAGGUCAGAGGUCAAAGGUGGCGAAGCAGCCGAACAGUCCGAACAGCACGAUGGCGACUCCGGUGCCGGUGAGGACGUACGGAGCGUUGGAGGGGCCGCUGGAGAUCAGCAACAUGUAGGGGCCCAACAUGAACUUCCACCAUAACCCCACCGACA